GCAGUGUACCCGCGGCAAGACGGAAAGACCCCGUGAACCUUUACUAUAGCUUGACACUGAACAUUGAGCCUUGAUGUGUAGGAUAGGUGGGAGGCUUUGAAGCGUGGACGCCAGUCUGCGUGGAGCCGACCUUGAAAUACCACCCUUUAAUGUUUGAUGUUCUAACGUGGAUCCGUAAUCCGGGUUGCGGACAGUGUCUGGUGGGUAGUUUGACUGGGGCGGUCUCCUCCUAAAGAGUAACGGAGGAGCACGAAGGUUGGCUAAUCCUGGUCGGACAUCAGGAGGUUAGUGCAAUGGCAUAAGCCAGCUUGACUGCGAGCGUGACGGCGCGAGCAGGUGCGAAAGCAGGUCAUAGUGAUCCGGUGGUUCUGAAUGGAAGGGCCAUCGCUCAACGGAUAAAAGGUACUCCGGGGAUAACAGGCUGAUACCGCCCAAGAGUUCAUAUCGACGGCGGUGUUUGGCACCUCGAUGUCGGCUCAUCACAUCCUGGGGCUGAAGUAGGUCCCAAGGGUAUGGCUGUUCGCCAUUUAAAGUGGUACGCGAGCUGGGUUUAGAACGUCGUGAGACAGUUCGGUCCCUAUCUGCCGUGGGCGCUGGAGAACUGAGGGGGGCUGCUCCUAGUACGAGAGGACCGGAGUGGACGCAUCACUGGUGUUCGGGUUGUCAUGCCAAUGGCACUGCCCGGUAGCUAAAUGCGGAAGAGAUAAGUGCUGAAAGCAUCUAAGCACGAAACUUGCCCCGAGAUGAGUUCUCCCUGAGACUUAGAGUCUCCUGAAGGAACGUUGAAGACGACGACGUUGAUAGGCCGGGUGUGUAAGCGCAGCGAUGCGUUGAGCUAACCGGUACUAAUGAACCGUGAGGCUUAACCUU
rnacentral:rRNA from 1 species